rnacentral:rRNA from 1 species
UACGGAGGGAGCUAGCGUUGUUCGGAAUUACUGGGCGUAAAGAGUACGUAGGCGGUUAUUCAAGUCAGAGGUGAAAGCCCGGGGCUCAACCCCGGAACUGCCUUUGAAACUAGAUAACUAGAGUCUUGGAGAGGUUAGUGGAAUUCCGAGUGUAGAGGUGAAAUUCGUAGAUAUUCGGAAGAACACCAGUGGCGAAGGCGACUAACUGGACAAGUACUGACGCUGAGGUACGAAAGCGUGGGGAGCAAACAGG